rnacentral:rRNA from 1 species
UACGGGGGGGGCAAGCGUUGUUCGGAAUUACUGGGCGUAAAGGGCUCGUAGGUGGCCAACUAAGUCGGACGUGAAAUCCCUCGGCUUAACCGGGGAACUGCGUCUGAUACUGGAUGGCUUGAGUUCGGGAGAGGGAUGCGGAAUUCCAGGUGUAGCGGUGAAAUGCGUAGAUAUCUGGAGGAACACCGGUGGCGAAGGCGGCAUCCUGGACCGACACUGACGCUGAGGAGCGAAAGCCAGGGGAGCAAACGGAUGAUAG